GAUCCUGGCUCAGACGACGUUAGCGGCGGGCCUAACACAUGCAAGUCGAACGCGAAAGGUCUUCGGACUGAGUAGAGUGGCGCACGGGUGAGUGACACGUAGGUAAUCUACCCUUUGGCGGGGGAUAACGUUCCGAAAGGAGCGCUAAUACCGCAUAAGACCACGGAGUCUCCGGACGCUGUGGGAAAAGGUGGCCUCUUCUUGAAAGCUACCACCGAAGGAUGAGCCUGCGUCCCAUCAGCUAGUUGGUAAGGUAAUGGCUUACCAAGGCGAAGACGGGUAGCUGGUUUGAGAGAAUGAUCAGCCACACUGGCACUGGAACACGGGCCAGACUCCUACGGGAGGCAGCAGUGAGGGAAUAUUGGGCAAUGGGCGAAAGCCUGACCCAGCCACGCCGCGUGAGUGAUGAAGGCCCUCGGGUCGUAAAGCUCUGUGGAGAGGGACGAAAACCCUGGUUUCAAAUAGGCUCCAGGCUUGACGGUACCUCUUUAGCAAGCACCGGCUAACUCUGUG
rnacentral:rRNA from 1 species